AAAGCGAGGUCAUCCAAUAAACUAGUGUUAAAUAAAUUUCUCUUCUGAAGUAAAUGAAGCAUUGCAUCAAAAAACAAACUGAUUGCUUAAACUAAUGUUAUAAGCCAUUCAAAUUGAACAGGAUGUCACAGGAGGCUCGGAUGUUGACGUAGCUGUUGAAACUUUGGGAAAACCAAAAACAUUCGUGCAAUGCAUACAGAGUGUUUGUAAUGGAGACAAUGCUGCAAUGAUUUGAUUUAAACUAUAUGGUGCUAAGGCGGAUGUGCAUAUAAACCACUUAGUGCGACGACAGGUAUGUGCAUACUUGAGUAUACCAAGUGAAGAUGCAAGAUCUGAAGAAUUCAUACAACUUGCCGGUAGAUUAUCAUUUUGCUAGGACUGUUAGGAAAAAGCUUAUCUUAUUCUCUAGGGAUGAUACAUAUUUUUGGCUGAGGGGUUCUAUAAAAUGUAGUGACUACAGUACUACUUUGUUUCCUUUUUUGUAAUUAAUUACAAAAUAUAAAUGAAAGCAUGAUAUUAUUUAUAAUUUUGUUUA